rnacentral:rRNA from 1 species
UACGUAGGGGGCUAGCGUUGUCCGGAAUCAUUGGGCGUAAAGAGCGUGUAGGCGGCCCGGUAAGUCCGCUGUGAAAGUCGGGGGCUCAACCCUCGAAUGCCGGUGGAUACUGUCGGGCUAGAGUGCGGAAGAGGCGAGUGGAAUUCCCGGUGUAGUGGUGAAAUGCGUAGAUAUCGGGAGGAACACCAGUGGCGAAGGCGACUACCUGGCCUGUUCUUGACGCUGAGGCGCGAAAGCUAGGGGAGCAAACGGG